GAUGUCGAUUUGGAGGUUGUGCCCUUGAGGCGUGGCUUCCGGAGCUAACGCGUUAAAUCGUCCGCCUGGGGAGUACGGCCGCAAGGUUAAAACUCAAAUGAAUUGACGGGGGCCCGCACAAGCGGUGGAGCAUGUGGUUUAAUUCGAUGCAACGCGAAGAACCUUACCUACUCUUGACAUCCUGAGAACUUCCCAGAGAUGGUUUGGUGCCUUCGGGAACUGUGAGACAGGUGGUGCAUGGCUGUCGUCAGCUCGUGUUGUGAAAUGUUGGGUUAAGUCCCGCAACGAGCGCAACCCUUAUCCUUUGUUGCCAGCGGUUCGGCCGGGAACUCAAAGGAGACUGCCAGUGAUAAACUGGAGGAAGGUGGGGAUGACGUCAAGUCAUCAUGGCCCUUACGAGUAGGGCUACACACGUGCUACAAUGGCGUAUACAAAGAGAAGCGACCUCGCGAGAGCA
rnacentral:rRNA from 1 species